CAUACCUAUUCGAAGGGAUAGGGUCGGUUUGGCCGGAUUUCACACGGGUGUUGCAUGGCUGUCGUCGGCUCGUGUCGUGAGAUGUUGGGUUAAGUCCCGCAACGAGCGCAACCCUCAUCCUUAGUUACCAUCAGGUAAUGCUGAGUACUUUAAGGAAACUGCCAGUGAUAAGCUGGAGGAAGGUGGGGAUGAUGUCAAGUCAUCAUGGCCUUUAUGGAGUGGGCUACACACGUGCUACAAUGGUGUCUACAAUGGGUUGCAAGGUGCGCAAGCCUAAGCUAAUCCCUAAAAGACAUCUCAGUUCGGAUUGUACUCUGCAACUCGAGUACAUGAAGUUGGAAUCGCUAGUAAUCGUGGAUCAGCAUGCCACGGUGAAUACGUUCUCGGGUCUUGUACACACUGCCCGUCACGCCAUGGGAAUUGGUUUCACUCGAAGCU
rnacentral:rRNA from 1 species